ensembl:ncRNA F33A8.12 ncRNA
GAAAGUUUGUAGAACGGAAAUCAUGGAUUGUUGGGGGAGGAGGUGGGAUGACGAAUGGGUUGAAUGAAGAACUGGAAAAGCUACUGAAAGCUCAGAACGCUUACAAUGAAUGUUUUCCACAAGACACCGGAUUUUGAAAUGACAAUGAGGCGGAUUGGGUGUACAUUUUAUACAGUAUUGGCAAUCCACUCAAUUCAACUAGACUUCAGUGGCUUUUUUAUACUGUGGAAACAAAUUUAACUCCAAGAAGAAUUUAGCCUGAAAAAGUUAAUUAUGAAUUAUGAUUUUACAGCUGGCAUUUUUCGGAUAGUAAAAAAUUUUGAAAACUCCCAGUCACAUUUCAUUUACUUUUUGUCUUCCAGUGAGAUUGUAGAGUGCUGAAACGUUGAACUCUUUUGAAUCCGAAAUUUUCUCUAGUCCGUGACAAAUUUUACUUGGAUUUUUGUCACAAAAUUGCAUGUAACUUCCGUUCAACUUCCGCGCAAAACAAUUCUCAUUGAAUGGCAUGUUUAUGAUCAUAACAAGUUGAUUAGUGUAAGAAGAGAGUAUCAUAAAAAAGACAAGAAUGCACAUAAUUGAAAGGAAAUGAAAUAAAAUGAAAUAAAAGGAAAAAUGCAGGAGAAGACGGAGAAUAUGAAGUUCAGAAGGUUCUAAUGAU